AGUGAACGCUGGCGGUAGGCCUAACACAUGCAAGUCGAACGGCAGCACAGAGGAGCUUGCUCCUUGGGUGGCGAGUGGCGGACGGGUGAGGAAUACAUCGGAAUCUACUCUGUCGUGGGGGAUAACGUAGGGAAACUUACGCUAAUACCGCAUACGACCUACGGGUGAAAGCAGGGGACCUUCGGGCCUUGCGCGAUUGAAUGAGCCGAUAUCGGAUUAGCUAGUUGGCGGGGUAAAGGCCCACCAAGGCGACGAUCCGUAGCUGGUCUGAGAUGAUGAUCAGCCACACUGGAACGGAGACACGGUCCAGACUCCUACGGGAGCCAGCAGUGGGGAAGAUUGGACAAUGGGCGCAAGGCUGAUCCAGCCAUACCGCGUGAGUGAAGAAGGCCUUCGGGUUGUAAAGCCCUUUUGUUGGGAAAGAAAUCCAGCUGGCUAAUACCCGGUUGGGAUGACGGUACCAAAAGAAUAAGCACCGGCUAACUUCGUGCCAGCCGCCGCUGUAA
rnacentral:rRNA from 1 species